rnacentral:misc_RNA from 1 species
AAAAAAAAAAAAAAUUCAAAAACCAUAUUUAUAGAGUGGCACAACUUUGCAUAUAAGAAUGCUAAAAAAAGGUGGAAAAUCUGGUAACUGUGAGAAUGAGAAAACAUCCAGUUGGCAUAUGUUAGACCUUAGACUUCGAUCUUACCAUUCCCUUCGCAAAAAGAAAGAAAGAAAGAAAUAGAAUAGCUCAAUAUAGAGGAAAAACAAAUAGAAGAAAACCCUGAAGAUCAACAUACAUCAUGACUUCUUGAGUAAUUUUU